rnacentral:rRNA from 1 species
UGCAGUCGAGGGGUAGAGUUUCUUCGGAGACUUGAGACCGGCGCACGGGUGCGUAACGCGUAUGCAAUCUGCCCUUUACUGGGGAAUAGCCCGGAGAAAUUCGGAUUAAUGCCCCAUAUGCCCGCGGAAUCGCAUGGUUCAGCGGGGAAAGCUGAGGCGGUAAAGGAUGAGCAUGCGUCCCAUUAGCUAGUUGGUGAGGUAACGGCCCACCAAGGCGACGAUGGGUAGGGGGCCUGAGAGGGUGAUCCCCCACACUGGUACUGAGACACGGACCAGACUCCUACGGGAGGCAGCAGUGAGGAAUAUUGGGCAAUGGAGGCAACUCUGACCCAGCCAUGCCGCGUGCAGGAAGACGGCCCUCUGGGUUGUAAACUGCUUUUGUUUGGGAAUAAACCCUUCUACGUGUAGAAGGCUGAAGGUACCUUACGAAUAAGGAUCGGCUAACUCCGUGCCAGCAGCCGCGGUAAUACGGAGGAUCCAAGCGUUAUCCGGAUUUAUUGGGUUUAAAGGGUCCGUAGGCGGGUCUUUAAGUCAGUGGUGAAAGCCCACAGCUCAACUGUGGAACUGCCAUUGAUACUGGAGAUCUUGAGUGUAGUAGAAGUAGGCGGAAUAGGGCAUGUAGCGGUGAAAUGCAUAGAUAUGCCCUAGAACACCGAUUGCGAGGCAGCUUACUAUGUUACAACUGACGCUGAGGGACGAAAGCGUGGGGAGCAAACAGGAUUAGAUACCCUGGUAGUCCACGCUGUAAACGAUGAUUACUCGCUGUUGGCGACAUACAGUCAGCGGCCAAGCGAAAGCAUUAAGUAAUC